rnacentral:rRNA from 1 species
AAAUUCGGUAUGAGAUGGGGAUGCGUUCCAUUAGUUUGUUGGCGGGGUAACGGCCCACCAAGACUACGAUGGAUAGGGGUUCUGAGAGGAAGGUCCCCCACAUUGGAACUGAGACACGGUCCAAACUCCUACGGGAGGCAGCAGUGAGGAAUAUUGGUCAAUGGACGCGAGUCUGAACCAGCCAAGUAGCGUGAAGGAUGACUGCCCCAUGGGUUGUAAACUUCUUUUAUAUGGGAAUAAAGUGGUCCACGUGUGGAUUUUUGUAUGUACCAUAUGAAUAAGGAUCGGCUAACUCCGUGCCAGCAGCCGCGGUAAUACGGAGGAUCCGAGCGUUAUCCGGAUUUAUUGGGUUUAAAGGGAGCGUAGGCGGAUUGUUAAGUCAGUUGUGAAGGUUUGCGGCUCAACCGUAAAAUUGCAGUUGAUACUGGCAGUCUUGAGUGCAGUAGAGGUGGGCGGAAUUCGUGGUGUAGCGGUGAAAUGCUUAGAUAUCACGAAGAACUCCGAUUGCGAAGGCAGCUCACUGGA